UACGAAGGGUGCAAGCGUUAAUCGGAAUUACUGGGCGUAAAGGGUGCGUAGGCGGUUCGUUAAGUCUGUCGUGAAAUCCCCGGGCUCAACCUGGGAAUGGCGAUGGAUACUGGCGAGCUAGAGUGUGUCAGAGGAUGGUGGAAUUCCCGGUGUAGCGGUGAAAUGCGUAGAGAUCGGGAGGAACAUCAGUGGCGAAGGCGGCCAUCUGGACCAGCACUGACACUGAGGCACGAAAGCGUGGGGAGCAAACAGG
rnacentral:rRNA from 1 species